UCUCUGUUUACCUCGGGUCCCGUGCUGGCUCAUCCGGAUCAGUCUUUGGCGUUCAUAGUGGAGUUGGACGACUCCAGGGCUGGGAUAGGAGCCGUGCUCUCUCUGUGCAGGGGAAAUAAUAAGACAUGCGGAACUAAGUAGCUAAUACUGUUGUAACUGGGAUCCUUAUUGUAGCAACACACUUUUGGAGGGAAGGCAAUCCUGCGCUGUGUUAGCUAAGUUUUCAUGUCAUCGGGUGUAGUUCAUAAAGGUUGCAGCGUGUAUGUUGGGAUGAAGUGUGAAUUCAUGCCAGGAAUAAUAAGUGUGAAGUUUGUCUGCUUAUUACAGAAGGGAGGAAAUCAAUGAGUUCUCAUGGAAGGUGAUAAUUCUGACUAAAACUACAGAAUAAAGCUGCCAGUUAAAAUCAA